GGUGAGAAAACAUCCAUUCUCCACCGACUUUAGACCCUCUGAUUCUUCACCGUCGUCCCAUCUCCAUCGAGCUCUCGUCACUAGUUUUUCCGUUCGCCGUCAACCUGAAUCUUGUCUUCACUGUCGCAUCUCUGUUGCUAAGUGCGCAAUCGUUUGAUUUCUUCCUCUGUCUCUAUUUUCUGAUUCUUCUUCGUUCUGCCAUCAACGUGCUGUGCAGCUGACUGGGUCGAAGGCAUCGUCCUCUCCUUUGGUGUCAUCCAUGAGCUGGGGUGUGUCUGAAGCUAUUGCAUUAUUGUCUAAGAUAGUGUAGCCGACUCUAUGCUUUCAGCAGCUCAUUGAGAGGCUUUUUGCCUUUUUGGAAAAGAGAGGCAUAUUGCGAUUAUUGUUUUGAGGAAAGAUGUUUCAAGAUCUAUGUCUAAGCCUUAAUUAUGGGUCUGAUACUAAGGCGGGCCACCCGAGCAUCAAAAGGAGAAGAAAAUGAAGAGUGAUGUUGCUAUGCCACACGCCGCAGUGUAGAGAUCGUCUGCCAUGACACACAGAUACUUUCGAUGCAAGGGAGGACCUCUCUGUGCAACGCACCGCGGUACAUUAUGCAUCCGCUGUGGUGCAUGGCCAUUUUUCGCAAUUUAUCAGAUGCGAACCUAAGACAGAAAAGAGAGAAGAGAAAGAAGAGAAUGAAGAGUGUUAGGGCUUGCUAGUAGAUGACAAUAAGAGUAUUUUGGAAGCUACAAACACUUAAGGCUCUAGUUCUGGUGCAAAAAGGGAGAAGGCUCAAAAGGCUAGGAAUUAGCAUAUUCCUAUUGUAUGCCUUUGGCUUAGAUUUAUUAUGUGUAAUAGUAUAUAAAUGCCAAUUCUAAGAUGCAUGCUAUCACACUUAUACUAUUUUGCUAUUGAGAAUGUUAGAUUUAUAUUUUGAGCCUUGAAUCUUUAUGUAUGUUGAUAUAUAUUUGUUAAUAGGGCUAAAAUAUUAGUGCAAGUGUAGAAAUAGACAUUUGAGCAUGUUCUGAUU